UACGGGGGGGGCAAGCGUUUGUUCGGAAUUACUGGGCGUAAAGGGCUCGUAGGCGGCCAACUAAGUCGGAUGUGAAAUCCCCAGGCUUAACCUGGGAACUGCAUCCGAUACUGGAUGGCUUGAAUCCGGGAGAGGGAUGCAGAAUUCCAGGUGUAGCGGUGAAAUGCGUAGAUAUCUGGAGGAAUACCGGUGGCGAAGGCGGCAUCCUGGACCGGCAUUGACGCUGAUGAGCGAAAGCUAGGGGAGCAAACGGG
rnacentral:rRNA from 1 species